AUGAACGCUAGCGACAGGCCUAACACAUGCAAGUCGAGGGGCAUCGGGGCGUAGCAAUACGCUGCCGGCGACCGGCGGAUGGGUGAGUAACGCGUAUGCAACCUGCCUUCAGCAGGGGGAUAGCCCGUUGAAAGACGGAUUAAUACCCCGUAACACAGGGGCUCCGCAUGGAGAUUAUUGUUAAAGGGAUACUUCCUUCGGGGGGUAUUCCGGCUGAAGAUGGGCAUGCGUUCCAUUAGGUAGUUGGUUGAGGUAACGGCUCACCAAGCCUACGAUGGAUAGGGGAACUGAGAGGUUGGUCCCCCACACUGGUACUGAGACACGGACCAGACUCCUACGGGAGGCAGCAGUGAGGAAUCUUGGUCAAUGGACGGAAGUCUGAACCAGCCAUGUCGCGUGAAGGAGGACGGCCCUAAGGGUUGUAAACUUCUUUUGCAGCGGAAUAAAGUAUUCCACGAGAUGGGAUAUUGCAAGUACGCUGCGAAUAAGGAUCGGCUAACUCCGUG
rnacentral:rRNA from 1 species